AAGAGGGAAGCCGGUGAGAAGCCGGCGCGGCCCCCGCCACUGUGACCGGGGACGGCGCGGACGCGGUGCGAGCGCACCGAGUCACCACUGCGCGUGCUCGUCGUGUGAGCGGCGGGGCGCGGCGGGAAGGUGGUCCGCGACGGACGAUCCGGGAGCCAGGAGACCU
rnacentral:ncRNA from 1 species